AUGAACGCUGGCGGCGUGCCUAAUACAUGCAAGUCGAGCGAACGGACGAGAAGCUUGCUUCUCUGAUGUUAGCGGCGGACGGGUGAGUAACACGUGGAUAACCUACCUAUAAGACUGGGAUAACUUCGGGAAACCGGAGCUAAUACCGGAUAAUAUUUUGAACCGCAUGGUUCAAAAGUGAAAGACGGUCUUGCUGUCACUUAUAGAUGGAUCCGCGCUGCAUUAGCUAGUUGGUAAGGUAACGGCUUACCAAGGCAACGAUGCAUAGCCGACCUGAGAGGGUGAUCGGCCACACUGGAACUGAGACACGGUCCAGACUCCUACGGGAGGCAGCAGUAGGGAAUCUUCCGCAAUGGGCGAAAGCCUGACGGAACAACGCCGCGUGAGUGAUGAAGGUCUUCGGAUCGUAAAACUCUGUUAUUAGGGAAGAACAUAUGUGUAAGUAACUGUGCACAUCUUGACGGUACCUAAUCAGAAAGCCACGGCUAACUACGUG
rnacentral:rRNA from 1 species